AUAUUCUACUCUGGGAAGAUAUGCUAGGUAAGAAAUAUUUCUUGUUAUCUCAACUGAAACAUUUAGUAAUAUGAAAUUUUGAGGAAGUAUGAUGAGAAGAAUAAUAAAAGCAUAAAAGUAGUUACAUGCGCAUCGAUAUUUCCAACUGGUAAACCGCCAUUUUUUUUUUUUUGUCCACGAUUACGAGGUGCCCACCAGGCGCCAAACGCCAGUUCCAGACUAGUAGCUGCAUCUUUAUCCUGUACCUUGUGAGACCCAGGCCUGUACCUUCAUCAAGCCUGAUACUACCUGCUUACUGCACUUCUGGGACACUAGAGGCUGUGUUGACGCUGUUGCUGAGGCUUAACUACACGGCCUCAUCAAAAACACCACCAAGGGCACAGCCAACCAAUAUUCUACCUACCUACCUCCUAAGGCCCUAAGACCAAAGGCCCUUGCAUCCAACAACAUUCCUGGUCUCCUCCCUCGCAUGGGAAUCAAGAUUUACUACAGCAAGAUAUAUGCUGGCAAUUGAUGGUGUUGUUGUCACUGAGCAUAUUGCCACAUUUACCACUGGCCUAGCUUUGCUGUUGGCCUCCUAUUACUACUUCAUUAUAAUGUACCCCAUGGAUUCUGCAUCAACACCUGAGUUCAUUCAAAGAUGCUGUCAGCCACUACAAUUGUGAUACUCAAGUGGAUGAAACUUCUCUUCCAUUCUUGCUGAUGUACUUAAAUAUUUUUUUUUUCUUAAUGAUGUGUCAAUGAUUAUAAUGGUGAUGCUGUAAAGGUGAUGUACUUAAAUGCCUAGGUUCAUUAUCUAUUUUUUUUCUGGAAUGCUCUUUUUAAUGGUAUAAUGAUGAUUAUAUAAUAAUGGUGAUGAUGAUGAUGAUGUCAAGUUUUCUCCUUGCAAGUAUAAUGAUGAUUAUAAUGGUGGUGAUGAUGAUGAUGAUGAUAAAGGUUUUCUCCAUGAUUGGUGUUGCAUAGUUAAAUACCUAGGUUCAUAUUUUUUUUUCUGGAAUGCUCUUUUUUAUUGGUGUGUGCAGUGAUUAUAAUGGUGAUGAUGAUGUUGAUGAUGUAAAGUUCUUUCCACGCUGGUUUAUGUAUAGUUAAAUGCCUAGGUUCUUUAUGAUUUUUUUUCAUUUCUGGAAUUGUCUUUUAAUGAAGUGUAAUGAUGAUGAUGAUAAUGUAAAGUUCUCUACAUGCUUGCUGAUGCAGUGAAAUGCUUAGAUUUAUUAUUACUUUUAUAUAUUUAUUUAUCAUUUUUUAGGAAUGCUCUGAUGAAGAGUCAAGUAAUUGAUUAAAUUGUAUAGUGUGGUUUAGUAGAAAUAUUUUUGCAAGUUUAUCUAAUGUAUUUUUAGUUUUAAAAAUGUGCUCAGGUAAUUUCUCCUUUUACCUCAUUUUGAUUUUGAAGCCUCUUAUCUAGUUCAUCUUUUACAUGAGAACAUGAGGAAAAUGUAGGCUG